rnacentral:rRNA from 1 species
UACGUAGGGUGCAAGCGUUGUCCGGAAUUAUUGGGCGUAAAGAGCGCGUAGGCGGUCCGAUAAGUCGGCUGUGAAAGUCAAGGGCUCAACCCUUGGAAGCCGGCCGAUACUGUCGGACUAGAGUCCGGAAGAGGCGAGUGGAAUUCCCGGUGUAGCGGUGAAAUGCGCAGAUAUCGGGAGGAACACCAAUUGCGAAGGCAGCUCGCUGGGAUGGUACUGACGCUGAGGCGCGAAAGCGUGGGGAGCAAACAGG